rnacentral:rRNA from 1 species
GGGCCCGCACAAGCGGUGGAGCAUGUGGUUUAAUUCGAUGAUACGCGAGGAACCUUACCAGGGCUUAAAUGUAGGUUGCAUGAUCUAGAGAUAGAUCUUUCUUCGGACUACCUACAAGGUGCUGCAUGGUUGUCGUCAGCUCGUGCCGUGAGGUGUCAGGUUAAGUCCCGCAACGAGCGCAACCCCUACUUUUAGUUGCCACCAUUUAGUUGGGCACUUUAAAAGAACUGCCAGUGAUAAGCUGGAGGAAGGUGGGGAUGACGUCAAGUCCUCAUGGCCCUUAUGUGUUGGGCUACACACGUGCUACAAUGGUACUUACAAUGGGAAGCAAAGAUGCAAGUCCUAGCCAAUCCCUAAAAUGUACCUCAGUUCGGAUUGUACUCUGUAACUCGAGUGCAUGAAGCUGGAAUUGCUAGUAAUCG